rnacentral:rRNA from 1 species
GAUGAACGCUGGCGGCGUGCCUAAUACAUGCAAGUCGAGCGAAUGGAUUAAGAGCUUGCUCUUAUGAAGUUAGCGGCGGACGGGUGAGUAACACGUGGGUAACCUGCCCAUAAGACUGGGAUAACUCCGGGAAACCGGGGCUAAUACCGGAUAACAUUUUGAACCGCAUGGUUCGAAAUUGAAAGGCGGCUUCGGCUGUCACUUAUGGAUGGACCCGCGUCGCAUUAGCUAGUUGGUGAGGUAACGGCUCACCAAGGCAACGAUGCGUAGCCGACCUGAGAGGGUGAUCGGCCACACUGGGACUUAGACACGGCCCAGACUCCUGCGGGAGGCAGCAGUAGGGAAUCUUCCGCAAUGGACGAAAGUCUGACGGAGCGACGCCGCGUGAGUGAUGAAGGCUUUCGGGUCGUAAAACUCUGUUGUUAGGGAAGAACAAGUGCUAGUUGAAUAAGCUGGCACCUUGACGGUACCUAACCAGAAAGCCACGGCUAACUACGUGCCAGCCGCCGCCGUAA